rnacentral:rRNA from 1 species
UACGUAGGGUGCGAGCGUUAAUCGGAAUUACUGGGCGUAAAGCGUGCGCAGGCGGUUUUGUAAGCCAGAUGUGAAAGCCCCGGGCUCAACCUGGGAAUGGCAAUGGAUACUGGCAAGCUAGAGUGCGGUAGAGGGUAGUGGAAUUCCCGGUGUAGCGGUGAAAUGCGUAGAGAUCGGGAGGAACACCAGUGGCGAAGGCGGCUACCUGGACCAGCACUGACACUGAGGCACGAAAGCGUGGGGAGCAAACAGG